UUUUUUUAUAACAAAACUUUAUUUUGUCUUUAAUAGUUUCCUUCAUUGACAAAUAAAUUUUGAACUCGGUUCUAGCAAAGCAUCAAUGUCUUUGCCUAAUUUGUGUUUCAAGAUUAUUGAUCUUUCGUAUUGAAGUUCUGAAAAUUAUAUUUUUUUCUUAGGUGGAGAAGUAUUGAAAAGAUGGAUCUUGAAGUUAUUCCUUUCAUUUUAGUAGUGUAACUAGCAAGAGCUCAAGAUUAUUUGCCGCCAUUCUUUGAUUACAGAAGUUUUUAUUUUGUUUGUUUCUUGCAUUGACAAAUGAAUUUUGAACUUGUUCUUGGAUAAUUUAUCUUUGGGAGAAAAUGAAUUGGUGGUGUAGGUUUGGGAAACAGUGGAUCAGGACACCCUGUGGAAAUUUAGGUUUUAUUAUGUGUUUAUUAUUUUCUUUGCUGCUAUUAUUCAUGGAUAAACUUGUGGAUUGGGAAUGCUUACCUCUUUAUGACAGGCACCGUAAAUGUCUGUGUCAGCCAUUUAAUUUUCUCUUUCUAGUCCACAGACAUUUCUUUCAGCAACUGAGUCAUUUAAUCGCAAAGAGAGUUUUGUUGCCUUUCAUGUUCUUUGUUGUCAAAACAACCUUGUUUCUUUUUUAUCAGCUAUAGUAUUUAGUUUCACUGCGAUCUCGGGAUGUGUUAUUUGGAAGUGAUGUGGUUACUCAUUUAAGGAUUGACGUGUUAUUUGGAAGUGAGGUGGUUAUUCAUUCGAGGAUUGAAUUCCAUUCCCUUUGACUUGCAUUGUUUGUGUUCAUUGCUAUCAAACAACUUUCUUCAUUUUAAAUGUAUGGAGUCUAUUUUUUUAAGAUGAAAUCCCCACUAAAUGUUUAUGUUUUAUUUUUUCUUUCUUUUUCAUCAUCUCCUAGUUAUUUGUGUUUCUCAUAGGCUUGGUCUCAUCCCUUCGACUUGCAUAUGUUUGUGUUCAUUGCUAUUGAACAACUUUCUUUUUUGCCAUUAGUCUUCUGGAGCUUUGCCAUGAGACUUCUUGAGUUUUGCCGUGAGACUUCUUGAGUUUUGCCGUGAGACUUCUUGAGCUUUGUCACAAGUCUUCUUGAGCUUUGCCACGAGUCUUCUUGAGCUCUGCCAUGAGUCUUCUUGAGCUCGGCAAUGAGUUUUCUUGAGCUUUGUCGUGAAGAAUGUAGGGGUCAGGUUUUGGAAACCGUGGAUGGAGAUGCAGUUAAAGUUUCGGUUUUAUUAUCUUUGCAUUUAUUAUGCUGAUAAAAAAAAUCUUUGCAUUCAUUAUUUUCUUUUUUGAUAUUCUUUUUGCUACUCUGGUGGAGUGGGAGUUCUUGUAAUUGGACCUUUGACUUUGAUGAUUUGAUUAUCUUCUACUUGUGUUGUAGAGAAUUUUGAGCUUUGCCAUUAGUCUUCUUGAGCUUUGCCAUGAGUCUUCUUGAUCUCUGCCUUGAGCCUUCUUGAACUCUGCCAUGAGUCUUCUUGAGCUUUGCCAUGAAUCUUCUUGAGCUUUGUCAUGAAUCUUCUUGAGCUUUUACAUGAAGGAUGUAGGGGUCAGGUUUUGGAAAUAGUGGAUGGAGAUACAGUUAAAGUUUAGGUUUUAUUAUCUUUGCAUUUAUUAUGCUGAUAAAAAAAAUCUUUGCAUUCAUUAUUUUCUUUGCUCCUAUUCUUUUUGCUACUCUUGUGGAGUGGGAGUUUUUGUAAUUGGGCCUUUGACUUUGAUGAUCUGAUUAUCUUCUUCUACUUGUGUUGCAAUGAACACUUACCAUGGAUGUUUGUUGGACAUAUUGUGAAGCUUCAGGUUUUAUUACUUUUCCACUCACUAUUUUUCUUAUGUGCUCGAUUUGGAAUGUGUACAGUUUCUCUUAUUUGUUGGAUAGUUGGAAGGUAUUUCAUUGUAUUGUAUGUAUCUAAGCAAGAGCAAUACUUCUAGGUCCUCCAUCAUCUAACCAUAUUGAUUAUAGUUUUCUUGAAUUCAUUGGCCUAAAAGGAAAGCUAAGCAAUGAAGUUUGGUGUAGGAUGUAAAAAUGGUUGGUGGAAAUUCUGUGAUCAGUGAAGCUAAAUGUUUCUCUCAUUAGGACAUUGUUGUGUUUAACUGAAUUAAUUUUUAACUGGCUAAACUUGUUGGUUUGAUUAUAAUCUUGGUUGUAUUUUGAUGGUGUAUGGUUCUAAGAGGCAUUGUGGGAUUAGCAUGAGACAAGUGUGGUUGGGCUUUACUCUUUUAUUUGAUGGUUUGCUUCUUGGUUUGGAAAGUUCUACUAUUUAAUUUUGAUGACUUCUCUGCAUAAUUCUAUAAUAUAGGUCUGUUGUUCUUUUAAUAGUUUUCCAAAACCUUUUGAUUCAUUAUUCUUGAUCCCAAACAUAGAAUUUUUGCAUGUAAUCUCGUGUGAUCCUAGACAACAAUGUCUCUUACUAUGAUGACGGACAUCAAUGUCUCUUACGCUGAAAUUUUUGAAAUUAGUAUAAGAAUGAUCCUGAAAUUGAAAUUGUUUAAAUGCUUCACUUUUGUUUCAACAAUCUCAUGUGUUUCUCGUUCCUUGAGUUUUGAAAUUUGCAUUUAUUUGUUUGCAACACAUUGAGUCUUUAUUUGAGGUUUCUCUUUCAGUUCAUUAACUCAGCAAGUGAUGGAAUAUAGUGGGACGACUAACAUGUUUAAUCAACCAGUUAUAGAUUUUUUUCUUUUUUUCCUUUAUUGUUUAUUGAGUUGAGUGCUUUGAAAAUAUUUCUGUAACCAAUUGGGAUUGAAAGUCCAGCGUUAUGCCUGGCAUUAGAUAAUUGGACUUCUUUUAUUAGUUAUCCAAACCGUUCAUUUUUUUCAUAUUUGUUCUAUUUGGACAGGAAUUGUAUGCGAGAGAGAUAAUGAAGUUUUGGAGGUGAAUUUGUUAAUUUCAGUUACGACUAUGGAGGAAUUGUAUUUUGGAGGUGAAUUUGUGAAUUUGUAUGAGACAACUUUGUUUCUCUGAAAUUUAGAGAGCCUCUUUAAUAUUGCAUGGUAGUUUUUUUAUACGAUAUACAAGUAUAUCCAGUUUUAUUUGGAUAUUUUUUAGCAACAAUGCUUUUGGAAUAGGAUUUGUUUGAGCGCUACCAUGAGAAAGUUCAACUUGAAACGACAACAACUCAUAAUAGCCUAAUUCCUUCUAUAUGAGGUUUCACCUUUUAUUUAACUUCUAAGGACUUGAUUACCAACAUUAGGAUUGAAUUGUGAUUUGUUUUUCUACAGUGGUUUAUGAUUGUCUUCAAACAAUGUUUGGAUCUCAUCGAGCCAGUUGGUUUCUGAGUUAAGAAUUUUUCUAAUAUUUUCUAAAAUUCCUCCCCUGAAACAAGUGUUUUUAGUUUUCUUGAAUUUUUGCUCUUUACAGAUAAGACAAGCAAUGGAUGUGUGACGACAUGUAGAAACAUGGGGAUCAAUUAAAGCCUUAGUUUGUCUUAAUUGGUGACUAGUUAUUUGAAUGCAGUUUUAUAUGUGGUGACAAUGAUCUAUCAAAAUAAAAAAAUUGGUUUAGGAUUUCCUCUCUAUUUGAUAUUUUCAGAUUUGAUCACCAAAUAUAAGGAUUUUCUGUUGCCAUUUGUUUCUCUGCAGUGAUGUUUGCAUUAUGGCUUUACAAGUCUUUCAGAGGAUCAGUAGUUUCAGAGGUGAAUUGUGUGUUGCAGUGUAAAUUGUUCAAGUUUAUUUAUUUGCAAAAGGGAUCAAUUCUCCAUUCAUUUUUGCAGAAGAUUAGAUGGCUAACAUUAUUGUUCGUUCAUUUGAUCCAGUAAGAGCUCAUUCUAGAAAUGUGGACUUCUCUUUAAAAGCCUUUGGUAUUUUAACUAUCUUCAAAAGAUAUUUUUUCUGGAUCUAUUGUUUUGACAGAGCAGGUCUUCGAGGAAGACACGAGUGUUGUUGAUUUUUAGAUUUGGAAUUGUUCAAGUACCAACAACAUGAUUUCAUGAUCUCUUAUGAUUUCCCCUGAAUUCUUGGUUGUUGUUUUGCCAGGGUAGGGUCUGGGUAGAUUUGGGUUUUUGGAUUCGGAAUUGUCCAACUACCAACAAUGUGUGUACAGGUUUGAAAUAGAUGAUGUGUUUGUCAGAUAUUUUCUAGGGAUAUAUAUAUAUAUAUAUAUAUAUAUAUAUAUAUAUUUAGUUGCUAGUUUUAUUUUUCAUUCAAUUACUUAAUUGCUUUAUUACUAUGAUCAUUUGAUUAUAAAAUUAUUCUUGGUAGUUAUAUAAUUAUUCAUGGUUGUUAGAUUACCUUUAAUAGUUACUGUUGUUGGAAAUAUAAUCUAGAAGUCCUUUGUUGGCUAAUGAUUCUCUAACAUUUUUUUUAAUUUUAUGGUAGUUGUAUUUUGCUUUGACAAUUUAGUUUAGUUUUUUUUAUUAACUCUGAUUGUUUCCAGCAUCGACACAUGAAUUUUGAACUUGUUCUUGCAUAAUUUAUCAUGGGAGAAAAUGAAUUGGUGGUGUAGGUUUGGGAAACAGUGGAUCAAGACCCUAUGGAAAUUUGGGUUUUAUUCUGUGUUUAUUAUUUUCUUUGCUGCUAUUAUUCACGGAUAAACUUGUGGACUGGGAAUGCUUACCUCUUUAUGACAGGCACUGUAAAUGUCUGUGUCAGCCAUUUAAUUUUCUCUUUCUAGUCCGCACUCAGACAUUUCUUUCAGCAACCAGUCAUUUAAUCGGAAAGAGAGUUUUGUUUCCUUUCAUGUUCUUUGUUGUCAAAACAACCUUUGUUUCUUUCUUAUCAGCUAUAGUAUUUAAUUCACUGCGAUCUCAGGAUGUGUUAUUUGGAAGUGAUGUGGUUAUUCAUUCGAGGAUUGAUGUGUUAUUUGGAAGUGAGGUGGUUAUUCAUUCGAGGAUUGAGUUUCAUUCCCUUUGACUUGCAUUUUUUUGUGUUCAUAGCUAUCAAACAACUUUCUUCCUUUGAAAUGUAUGGAGUCUAUUUUUUUAAGAUGAAAUCCCCUCUAAAUGUUAAUGUUUUAUUUUUUUUCUUUCUUUUUCAUCAUUUCCUAGUUAUUUGUGUUUCUCAUAGGCUUGGUCUCAUCCCUUCGACUUGCAUUUGUUUGUGUUCAUUGCUAUUAAACAACAUUUUUUUUAAAUGUAUGGAGUCUUUUUUGUUACGUCUAGAGAUGUUGAUUUGCUUGUUUUCAUUCCGUUUUAGGUGUUGAUUUGUUUGCGUUCAUUCCUUUUUAGGUGUUGAUUUGUUUGUGUUCAUUCCUUUUUAGCAUUUGGAGGCCUCAAGAAUGGUUGAGGAUUAAAAUCUGGAAGUGUUUAGAACGACCAAUAAUUCAGGAUAACCUAAUUUCAUUAGUUUCCUUUCCAUUUGAUUUCUUGAGAUUUGAUCACGAAGAAUAAGGAUUGAAUUGUCAUUUGUUUUUAUGAUGUCUUUCUUUGUUUUGAAUGUCUUAUUGUCUCUAUACUUCAACUCUAUGAGCCGUUGUAGCCUUCCUGAAUUCUUGGGGUGUACAGUACAGGACAAACAUGCAACAGAUGUUACGUAGGACAGAUGUGAGUAUCCUUAAAGCUCUAGGUUUUGGUAUCCACACAUAUUUUUGUCUUUAAUUGGGACUGGCUAUUUGAAUUUCUCUGGUUUUUGAAUUCCUUCAAUUCAUCUUAUGCUUUCUUAACUUCUUGGUCUUUAUUACCAAUAUCUAUUUUUAUUUAAAUAUAGUUCUUAAAUUUUUUAUGUCUAGGUGUUGAUUCGUUUGUGUUCAUUUCUUUUUAGCAUGUAAGACUGGUUAAGGAUUAAAAUCUGCUAGUGUACACGAAAAACAAGCCACGGAUGUGAGGUAGGAUAUCUAAAUACUGGAAGGAGAUGCUUGAUUCUGUAGGUUAUCCAUAAUCUUUGAUGACAGAUGCUUACUUGAGUUUGGAUGUAGUUAUUUAUUUGAUGAAAGAGAUCUAUCAUAUGUAACUUUGUGUUAGUUCCUUUUCAGCAGGGGAUUCUGGUUGAGGAUUAAAAAACAUAAAUUUGAAUAUUGAUUUUGUUUGAUUAUUGAAAUAUGACAAAUCUAGCUGUUUGAUCUUUGAAUAUGUUGAUUCUUUUUAGCAAAUCAUAGGUUAGUAAUAAUAAAAUGCUCAGGGAAGAUGUCUCCCCUUUACUUGAAACAUUGUAGAUAGAGCAUAUUUUUCCAGACUGAUAUGCGAGGUAGGGUGUGGAAACACUUCCCAGGGGAUUUGUGAAGCUUUAGGUUGUUACCUGUUAGAUAUUAUUAGAUAUUAUUAGAUAUUAUUAGAUAUUAUUAGAUAUAAUUAGAUAUUAUUUGAUAUUAUGAGAUAUUAUAGAUAUUGUUAGAUAUCUCAUAUUUAUGUAAUGGGCUUAGCCCAUAUGUUUCUUUUCCUAUAUAAACAUAACCCUAUGUGUUCAAUAUACACAAGGGAUUUACCCUAUUCUUUCUUUUCCUUUAAUAUUACCCUUACCAUUCUUGUGUCUUUAUUUGUGACUGACUAAACUUCUUGUUUGGAUUCUAAGUUUUGGUUGGAUUCAUUGCUAACAUUGUAGUUUGACUGGCAGUCUGGCAGUUCUUGUGGGUUUAGAGGUCGUGUAAUACUCUCUUUUUUAAGUUGUCCAUUUCUAAGUAAUUUAGGCUUCUCUUAGCUUUUACCAGUCCUGGAUUCAUAGUGAAAUUUGACCCUUUUACAUGGUGCAAUUGAAAUUAAGGAGAGAAUUAUUGAUCUUUAGUUUUCUAGUACUGAAUUAAUUUUGGAUUUGUUUUGGUGUAGCAAAUCUGAAAGGUCAUUUUCUUAGUUAUUACUUCAUUUACUAAAUAAUCAAGAGCAUUGGACAAUUUGAUUUUGUAGUGUUUUGUUUGCUGCAUUGACAAAUGAAUCUUGCAUUCUAUUGUUUUUAGGAGUUUUAGAUUACAUCCUGAAUAUGACAUGAUGAUCUCUUCUAUCUUCCAAAAUGAGAAUGAUCUGCAACAUUAGAGUUGUAUUUAGUUCUAUGUCCAAUGUGAGAAUGAGAAAAUUAAGAGCUCUAUUUAGUUUUAUCUCCAAUUAUCUCUAAUAUGAGAAUGAGAAACAACAGUAGUUGGAAUGUUUUCUUGCAAUCUUCCUGUGCUAUGAUUUAGUUCUCUCUCCAUAUAUGAGAAUAAGAAAAUGAGAAAGAGAAACAAGAUUAUUUGGAAUGUUUUGUAGUAAUCUUCUUGCACUAUGAUUCGGUUCUCUCCCAAUAUGCGAAUGAGAAACAACAAUAUUUGGAAAGUUUUGUCGUAAUCUUCUUGUGCUAUGAUUCGGUUCUGUCCCCAAUAUGCGAAUGAGAAGAUGAGAAACAACAGCUUAUGAGAGCUCCAUUUGGUUCUAUCUCCAAUAUGAGAAUGAGAAACAACAGUACAUGAGAGUUCUAUUUAGUUUUAUCUCUAAUACGAUAAAGAAGAGAAACAAAAGCAUUUGGAUUGUUCUCUUUGUAAUCUUCGUGUGCUAUGAGCAACGCCUCCCCUCGAGGCUAUGGUUACGGGUGAUGCCUCUCUAUUCCAACAUGAGAGCUCUAUAUAUUUUUUUGGGGUGGGGUCUCAAUUUAUGAUACCAUGUGGAAGCAGACACCAUAUUUUUGCCGUCUAUAUUUCUCAGCUCUUGCUGAUUUUGCCAUGCUGAACUUAGUUUUCUUGAAUUGCCAUUCUUCUUAAAUUUUUACAGUAAAGCAAUAGAUAUGUGGGGGCAGGUUUUGGAAACAUUGUAUGGAGAUCUGGUGAAACUUUAGAUUUUAUUAUCUUUGCAUAUUCAUCAUUUUCUUUGAUGGCUAAACUUGUGGAUUGGGAGUUCUUGUAAACAGGCACUAUGUGAGUUUGAGAGGCUUUGGCAAUUGUGUUGUUAGGCCUUCGAUCCUGGUGAUUUGAUAAUCUGUUGCAGUGAAGACUUUAUGGAUGUCUGUUACCCAAAUUACGGUACAUUAUUGGACUUACAUUUCCAUUUCACUAUUUUUUUUAUAUCCUUGAUUUGGUUGUGGUAUCUCUUAUUGGUUGAAUAGUGGGAAGGCACAUGUGAAUCUUAUGAUGUAUUGCCUUUAAUAGUUUUUGCUGUUGGAAAAAUAAUCUAGAAGUCCUUUCUUAGCAAAUUAUUCUCAUUAUUGUAGAAAUUCUAUAACAUUUAUUCAGGUUUUACUUUCUACAAUUAGUUUAUUUUUAUCCACUCCGAUAACUAAUUAAAUAUUUACUUUCUCUAGAAAGUAGACUAUGUGAUUGAUAUAUUUUAAUGUUAUUCAUAAAUUAGUUCUUUAUAUUAAUCAUUACAAAAAUGUUUGGUAUACACUCAUAUUUAUCAUAUUGCCUUCAAGUAGAAAGGUAUUUGUAUAGGGCAAUUGCUUCCUCCCCCAAUCAAUUUUGACUAGCAUUCAAUAGAAGUUUUAAAACUUCAUUAUGCCUUUUUCACGGCUUACGAAUGCCAAUAUCCAAAAGUGACAUAUUUGCCUAUGGAUAUUGCCAUUUGGAAGUGAUAGUUUUGCCUACGGAUAUUAACAUUCGAAAGUGUCAGUUUUGCCUACGGAUAUUGACAUUUGGAAGUGUCAGUUUUGCCUACGGACAUUGGCAUCUGGAACUGGCACUCUUUGAUUGCGUUCAUUUUUAUCCGAAAGGCACUAUCAUUUUUCUUAAUAUACAUAUCAGGAAGCCAAUCAUCCUUAACUUUUUUUUUUGGCAGUGUAAUGAUUUUGUUACUUUUAAUGGAUUAAAACCACUAAACCGAACCAAUUUAAAGAAUAAAAGUAAAAUCAACAUUAAAAUUUGUUACUUGCUUUUUAUUAUAAAAUAUUUAUAUUAUCAUUUAUAUAUUUUCAAAUGCAUUAACCAUUGAUGACAUAUAGAACAUUGUUGAGAGUAGAAAAAAAGCACCCAAUAAACACAUUUUGGAUUUUCAAAAUGGGACCUGAUGAAAAAGACUUUCGUGGUGCAUAUGGAUGUUUAUAUUCAUAACUCAUAACACAAUUACGGACAAAAAUAUUCAGAACCCGUGAGAAGCGUGAAGCGACACGUCUCCUUUUCUGGUGUCUUUGCUUUCUGUCGUUGUUGAAGUGGCUCAAAAGCGUUGCUUGCGUGUGUGUAAGACUUUCGGAAGAGAAUGUCUACAAGAAACAAUGAAUGACCUUCUGCACUGUGCUUGAUUGUGGGGUGUAUGGAACCUAAUUUCACUCAUUAAGGGUGUCAUGGUAAUUUCAUAUAGAUCAUUAAGGGUGUUAUGGUAAUUUCAAACAGAAAAUUGGGUGUUAGUUAGAAUUGAUUGGGUGCAGGAGAGUCAGCUUUGUGUAGCAAUAAAAAGUCACAAAGAAAUCUAUUCAACUCUAAAAGGUUGUGAUAUUUAACACCACAAAGAGUAAAAAACAUUCACAAAUUAAUAAAAUAAUAUUUUAAUCAUAUUUAAUUUAUUUUUAUUUUUAAAUAUUAUUAUAUUAUUAUAAUGAGAUGUUAAGUAUACGUUUUUACAUGGUGUCAAAAAAUUAUUUUCCUAUUCUAAAAGAACUUAGACAAAUGUCUUAUUAUAAUAAAACUAAUAAUGUGGAAAAUAUUUUAAAAAACACUAAUAAAAGAAAUAAGUUUAUUUUUCAAAUUGAAGUCAAAUUAAGAUUAAAACAAUCUUAAAAUUUAAUUAUAUUGACUAAAAAGUUAAUAAAAACAAAACAAUAUUUACAAGAUAUUUUUAAAUAUCUUUAAAAUAAUAACUGCAAAUUUGUUUCCCCUGUUUUGUGUCAGCGGUUUGUUAUAAGAUAAGGAUGAAAAUCUUAAUUGCAUAUUUUCACCUCACCGCGUAAUAUAAGCUGUCAAUCUUGACCCUCCCUUUCUAUAUAUACCCGAAGAUCUUAUUGAGUUUAUCAUAUUGAGUUUUGUUGGUAUUGGUUCCGUGAUUGAGUUUUGUUAGUACUGAUUGGGGGUGAUUGUUGUGCUUCUUAUUAUCAAGUCUCCGUGGUUUCGUCGAAUUAUAUCAUGUUUGCUAUCAUCGAUGUGGUUUUGAUGUGGUUUUGUCGGAUUGAAGAAUGCAAGAAUCUUUUAUAGGAUUGAAGAACGCCAAUUCUGAAUAUGAUUCUUUAUGUGAUGAUGACAAGUUUUGAAUCUUUUGAUCAAAUUCCUUUAUCCCUUUUCUGCUGGUGACGGGGUCUUUGAGUAUUUUCUUCUACUUUCCUUUCUAUUAUUUGAUUUAUCUGGUAUUGAUCACGAAAAUAAGGAUUGGACUAUGAUUUGUUUAUCUGCAGUGGUGUAACACGUUUCUUAGUUAGUUUUCUUGAUUUUUGGGCUGUACAGGGAAGACACGCAAUGGAUGUGAAAUGAAGUAUUAUGUUUUCUUGACUUCUUAUGGGUUUAUUCGUGACUGAUUAUUGGAUUUCGUAGCCUAACUUGGUGUUUAUGUUCACUCCCCUUCAGCAAUUCGAGUUUCUGAGAUUUGAAACCCUAAAAAGUUUGAAACGGUUGCAGCUCAGGACAUCCCAAUUCUCUCUAUCUAUUGUUUAAUUUCUCUCUACUUUAUCUCCAAGGAUUGAAUUGUGUUCGACGUUUGAAUUAUUUUCCCUUAAUGUUAUGAGGCCCCAAGGGUUGAAUUGGUGUUUGAAUUAUUUUUUUCGCUUAAUGUCCUGCAGAGUAUGUUAUGAGACAUAAGGGCUGAAUUGUGAUUUGUUUCCUGUUUGGAUGAUUUGCAUAGCAUCUUAUAGAAUAUGAAUGGUUUGGUUUUCGCACGGUUCUCGCGAGUAUGUUAUAGCCACCAUUCUUCCUUGGUUUUUAAGUCUUCAAUUUAUCUUAUCGUUCUAUACUUCAUCCUCGAUUACCAGUUAUACUUUGUUGAAUUAUUGUUCUUUACAGGGAUGAGUGGGGAUAAGACAGGGAUGUGUGGGUAGGACGUUCCUCGUGGUUGGUUGAAAAUGGUGGAUGAGCCAUGCUCGACGGUAUGAAAAACACAACGACAAUGGGCUCGACAUAACCGAAGUCUUUUUUGAGUUUUCCUUCUAUUUUUCUUCAACAUAAGGAUAUGAUUUGUUUAUCUGCAGUGGUGUUUUGAACCUUUUGCGUAAAUUUCUUUGCUCCUUUUCAGUUGGUGGCCGAUUCUCUGGCGUUUCUUUAGCUUUUGGAUGAUUUGAAAACUAGAACGACCAAGAGCUAGGCAUAACCUAAGUCUUUGUUGAGUUUCCCUUCUUUAACUUUUUUUUCUGCUAUUGAUCACAGUACAUAAGGAUUGAACUAUGAUUUGUUUAUCUGCAGUGGUGUUUGGAUUAGUUGGGUAACGACACAUACUCAUCUUAUCAUGUUCCUAUAACUAGUAAAUUCAUUUACUGAAUUUUGAGUAUAAUUGUCUAUUUGAGUAUGACGAGUUUUAUACCUUUUGCGUAAAUUUCUUUUCAGCUGGUGGCUGGUUUUUUGGUAUUUCUUUUGCCUAUGGAUGAUAUGGAAAGCACAACGACCAAGGGCUCGACAUAACCUUAAGUCUUUUUUUAGUUUCCCUUCUAUUUUUGUUAUGGUAUUGCAUAAGGAUUGAACUAUGAUUUGUUUAUCUGCAGUGGUGUUUGGAUUAGUUGGGUAACGUCACAUAUUAAUCUUAUCAAGUUUCUAUAAUUAGUAAAUUCAUUUAUGUCUAUAUGAGAAUGACGAGUUUUGAACCUUCUGCGUAAAUUUCUUUGCACCUUUUCAGCUGGAGUUCUCUGUCAUUUCUUUCUCCUAUGGAUGAUAUGAAAAGCAGAAGGACCAAGGGGCUCGACAUAACCUAAGUCUUUUUUGACUUUUUUUUUCUAUUUUUCUUUUUCCUGGUAUUGAUGACAGUACAUAAGGAUUGAACUAUAAUUUGGUUAUCUGCAGUGGUGUUAGGAUUAGUUGGAUAACGACGCAUAUUCAUCUUACAAGUUGCUAUAACUAGUAAAUUCAUUUAUGUGAAUUUUGAGUAUAAUUCUCUAUUUGAGUUUGACAAGUUUUAAACCUUUUGCGUAAAUUUAGUUUCAGCUGGUGGCUGGUUUUUUUGCCUUUCUGUUGCCUAUGGAUGAUAUGAAAAGCACAAUGACCAACGGGCUCGUCAUAACCUAAGUCUUUUUUGAGUUUUCCUUCUUUUUUUCUUUUUCCUGGUAUUGUUCACAGUACAUAAGGAUUAAACUAUGGUUUUGUUUAUCUGCAGUGGUAUUUGGAUUAGAUGGGUAACAACGCAUAUUCAUCGUAUCAAGUUUCUAUAACUAGUAAAUUCAUUUACGUCAAUUUUGACUAUAGUUCUCUAUUUGAGUUGACACUAUAGUUCUUUAUUUGAGUAUGACGAGGAAAAUUACUUAAAUUUCUUUUCAGCUGAUCAAGGGCUCAACAUAACCUUAAAUCUUUUUUGACUUUCCCUUUUAUUAUUUUUUUUAGGUAUUACAUAAGGAUUGAACUAUGAUUUGUUUAUCUGCAGUGGUGUUAUGAUUAGUUGGGUAACUUCACAGAUUCAUCUUAUCAAGUUUCUAUAAUUCAUUUAGGUGAAUUCUGAGUAUAAUUCACUAUUUGAGGAUGAUGAGUUUUGAACAUUUUGUGUAAAUUUCUUUGCAUAUUUUCAGUUAUUGGCUGGUUCUCUGGCAUUUCUUUUGCCUAUGAAUGAUAUGAGAAGCACAACGACCAAGGGGCUCAACAUAACCUAAGUCUUUUUUGAGUUUUCCUUAUAUUUUUCUUUUUACUAGUAAUAAUAACAGUACAUAAAGAUUGAACUAUGAUUUGUUUAUCUGCAGUGGUGUUUGGACUAGUUGGGUAACGACGCAGAUUCAUUUUAUCAAGUUUCUAUAACUAGUAAAUUCAUUUACGUGAAUUUUGAGUAAAAUUCUCUAUUUGAGUAUGACGAGGUUUAAACCUUAUGCGUAAAUUUCUUUUCAGCUGGUGGCUGGUUUUUUGGCAUUUCUUUUGCCUAUGGAUGAUAUGCAAAGCACAACGACCAAGGGCUCGAUAUAACCUUAAGUCUUUUUUGAGUUUCCCUUAUAUUAUUCGUUAAUGGUUUUACAUAAGGAUUGAACUAUGAUUUGUUUAUCUGCAGUGGUGUUUUGGAUUAGUUGGGUAACGUCGCAUAUUCCUCUUAUCAAGUUUCUAUAGUUAGUAAAUUCAUUUAUGUCUAUAUGAGGAUGACAAGUUUUGAACCUUCUGCGUAAAUUUCUUUGCACCUUUUCAGCUGGCGUUCUCUAGCAUUUCUUUCUCCUAUGGAUGAUAUGAAAAGCAGAAGGACCAAGGGGCUCAACAUAACCUAAGUCUUUUUUGAGUUUUUUUUUCUAUUUUUCUUUUUCCUGGUAUUGAUGACAGAACAUAAGGAUUGAACUAUGAUUUGUUUAUCUGCAGUGGUGUUUGGAUUAGUUGGAUAACGACGCAUAUUCAUCUUACAAGUUUCUAUAACUAGUAAAUUCAUUUACGUGAAUUUUGAGUAUAAUUCUCCAUUUGAGUGUGACGAGUUUUAAACCCUUUUUGUAAAUUUACUUUCAGCUGGUGCCUGGUUUUUUGGCCUUUCUGUUGCCUAUGGAUGAUAUGAAAAGCACAACAACCAAGGGCUCGACAAAACCUUAAGUCUUUUUUGAGUUUCCUUCUAUUUUUUUAUGGUACUACAUAAGAAUUGAACUAUAAUUUGUUUAUCUGCAGUGGUGUUUGGAUUUGUAUAACGUCACAUAUUCAUCUUAUCAAGUUUCUAUAAUUAGUAAAUUCAUUUAGGUCUAUAUGAGGAUGACGAGUUUUGAACCUUUUGCGUUAAUUUCUUUGCACCUUUUCAGCUGGAGUUGAGUUGUGAACUUGUUUGGAAGUUUUGCAUGUAAUCUCCUUUGAGCCUAGACUGCAAUGUCUCUUAUGCUGAAAUCUUUGAAAUCAGAAUAAUGAACCGGAGUGACAACAAUGCUCUAACGCUGAAAUUUUUGAAAUCAGUAUAAUAAUGAUCCUGAAAUUGUUUAAAUGCUUCACUUUUGUUUCAACAAUCUCCAUUUAUGUUUCUCAUUCUUCGAGUUUUGAAAUCAGCAUUUAUUUGUUUGCAGCACAUUUUGUCUUUAUUUGAGGUUUCUCUUUCAGAUUGUUAACUCAACCAGUGAUGGAAUAUAGUGGGACGGCUAACAUGUCUUAUCAACAAGUUUGAGUGUUUAUCCAAAACCAUUCCAUUCAUUUCUUUUUCAUAUUUGUACAAUUUGGAAAAGGAUUGUAUCCGAGAAAGAUAAUGGAGUUUUGGAGGUGAAUUUGUUAAUUUUAAUCAGAUUGACGAACGUCUCUUGGACAGGAUUUCGUCUCUAUUUGAUAUUUUCAGAUUUGAUCACCAAACAUAUGGAUUUUCUGUUGUCAUUUGUUUUUGUGCAGUGAUAUUUGCAUAAUGUUUCAUGCUACGUCUAAUCAAUCAUGUUGUUUGGAAGUUUGUAUGACUCUUGAUAACAGGCUUUACAAGAGUUUGGGAGGAUUAGUAAUUUCAGAGGUGAUACCUAUUAUCAUAUUUGUGUCUUGUAGUGUGAACUGUUCAAGUUUAUUCAUUUGCAAGAGGGAUCAAUUCUCCACUUUUGAUGCAGAAGAUUAGAUGGCUAACAUUAUUGUCCGUUCAUUUGAUCCAGCAAGAGCCCAUUCUAGAAAUGUGGUCUUCUCUUUAAAGGCCUUUAGUAUUUUACUAUCAUAAAUAGAUAUUAUUUCUGGUUCUAUUGUUUUGACUGAGAGGAAGUCACAAGUCUUGUUGAUAUAUGAUGAUCUCUUAUCAUUUCCCCUUAAUUCUUGGUUGUUGUUUUGACAGGGUAGGGUUUGGGGAGUCUGGGUUUUUGGAUUAGGAAUUGUCCAACCACCAACAAUGUGUGUACAAGUUUGAAAUAUAUGAAUGAAGGCUGUCAAGGAAAAUGAUUACAGCAAUGAAGGCUAAAAAAAAAAUUGCGGAAGCAGAGUCUCCUAGAUCAGGAUAUAUAUAUGCUAGAGUGGAAAGAAAUAGAUGAAAUAUAUUUCUGAGAUAUCUUACAAAUGUGAUUACAGUCUCUAUUUAUAGACUGUUUUACAACCUAAUUAAAGAAAGAAAUAAUAGGUGAUGAAAGCCAGAAAUAAAUAAUGAGUGUUUAAAGCUGUACAAAUCAAAUAAAAUAAAAUCACUAACAAAUCUGUACUAAUAAAUAUAAAAUGGAAUCUGCACUUAAUUAUAACAUAAUUCUCCUGAUUAUGCAACAGUUAGUUUGAAUUUUAUUGAAUUACAUAAAUGCUUUAUUAAUAUGAUCAUUUGAUUAUAGCAGAAUUGUAGUGGUUUUUAUAAAAUUAUUCUUAGUAGUUAUAUAAUUAUUCAUGGUUGUUAUAUUACCUUUAAUAGUUAUUGUUGUUGGAAAAAUAAUCUAGAAGUCCUUUGUUGGCUAAUGAUUCUCUAACAUUUUUUUAAAAAUUUUAUAGUAGUUGUAUUUUGAUUUGACAAUUUAGUUUAGUUUCUUUUAUUGACUCUUAUAGCUAAUUAAUAUUGACUUUCAUUAGAAUGUUGAUGAUGAUGUGAAUGAUGUGUUUUAAUGUUGAUUGUGUUGUGAUUCUAUUUUAUAAAAUAUUGUUUUAUGGUAAUCAUUAAUCAAUUGCUUUGUAUACACUCAUUUAUCAUAUUGCUGUAUGACAAAUCUUAAAGCCCUCUAAGAGAAAGGUUCCUGGGUUGCUUUGUGGAAAGUUUUAAACUCGCUCGCAAUGGUAAAGGAUGGAUCAAUGUGCUUUUAUGCAAGAAUUAUUAGUAAAUUCAUUUACGUGAAUUCUUAGUAUAAUUCUCUAGUUGAUUAUGACGAGUUUUUAACCUUUUCAGCUUAUGGCUGGUUCCCUAACAUUUCUUUUGCCUAUGGAUGAUAUGAAAAGCCCAACAAUCAAGGGCUCAACAUAAAGAAAGUCUUUUUUGAGUUUCCCUUCUAUUAUUCUUUUUGCUGGUAUUGAUAACAUAAGGAUUGAACUAUGAUGUGUUUAUCUGCAAUGGUGUUUGGAUUAGUUGGGUAACAUCGCAUAGUCAUCUUAUCAAAUUUCUAUACUUUGUCUUAAUAAGAGUGUUUAUUGUUUCCUUCAAUUUUUGGACUAUCGUUUCCUUCAAUUAAAUUUGGUGUUUGUGUUCAUUCCUUUUCAGCAAGUCCUGAGUCUUUGAGAUUUCUUUUGGUGGUUGAGGAACUACAGAAUGGUUGUAGAUCAGGAUAUCCUAAUUUCUCUAUACUUGAUCACCGAACAUUGAAUAGUGAUUUGUUCUUAUGCAGUAAACAUAAGGAUUUAAUUUUGAUUAUUUUCGUAUAAUGUCCUUUAUCUCAUGGAGUAUGUUAUGUGGCAUAAUAGUUUAAUUGUAAUUUGCUUCUUUGCAGCGUGAAAUUGGCUUACCGUAUUGCAUCUUAUGGGGUAUGUUAUGAGUGACCGUGUCUCCCUUAAUUUUUUAAUUUAUCUAAUAGUCCUUUAUUACCUGUUAUAGUUUUGUUGAAUUAUUGUUCUUUAUAGGGAUGUGUGGUAAUUAGCAAGAGCUCAGGACUAUUUGGUUUCAAUUUUUUUAUAACAAAACUUUAUUUUGCCUUUAUUAGUUUCCUUCAUUGACAAAUGAAUUUUGAACUUGGUUCUUGCAAAGCAUCAAUGUCCUUGCCUAAUUUGUGUUUCAAGAUUAUUGAUCUUUCGUAUUGAAGUUCUGAAAAUUUAGGUGGAGCAGUAUUGAAAAGAUGGAUCUUGAAGUUAUUCCUUUCAUUUUAGUAGUGUAAUUAGCAAGAGCUCAGGAUUAUUUGCCUCCAUUCUUUGAUUACAGAACUUUUUAUUUUGUUUGUUCCUGCAUCGACAAAUGAAUUUUGAACUUGUUCUUGCAUAAUUUAUCAUUGGGAGGAAAUGAAUUGGUGGUUUAGGUUUGGGAAACAGUGGAUCGGGACCCUGUGGAAAUUUAGGUUUUGUUCUAUGUUUAUUAUUUCUUUGCUGUUAUUAUUCACGGAUAAACUUGUGGACUGGGAAUGUUUACCUCUAUAUGACAGGCACUGUAAACGUCUGUGUCAGCUAUUUAAUUUUCUCUUUCUUGUCCACACUCAGACAUUUCUUUCAGCAACUGAGUCAUUUAAAAGAGAGUUUCGUUUCUUUUCAUGUUCUUUAUUGUCAAAAUAACCUUUCUUUCUUUCUUAUCAGCUAUAGUAUUUAGUUUCACUGUGAUCUCGGGAUGUGUUAUUUGGAAGUGAUGUGGUUAUUCAUCCAAGGAUUAAUGUGUUAUUUGGAAGUGAUGUGGUUAUUCAUUCAAGGAUUGAGUUCCAUUCUCUUCGACUUGCUUUUGUUUGUUGUGUUCAUUGCUAUCAAACAACUUUCUUCCUUUUAAAUGUAUGGAGUCUAUUUUUUUAAGAUGAAAUCCCCACUAAAUGUAAUGUUUUUUUUUUCUUUCUUUUUCAUCAUUGCCUAGUUAUUUCUGUUUCUCAUAGGCUUGGUCUCAUCCCUUCAACUUGCAUUUGUUUGUGUUCAUUGCUAUCAAACAGCUUUCUUCUUUUUAAAUGUAUGGAGCCUUUUUUGCUACGUCUAGAUGUUGAUUUUCUUGUGUUCAUUCAUUUUUAGGUGUUGAUUUGUUCGUGUUAAUUCCUUUUUAGCAUCUCGAGACUGCCGGAAUGGUUGAGGAUUAAAAUCUGAAAUUGUUUAGAACCACCAAUAAUUCAGGAUAACCUUCAACUUUGUUUUAGGUGUCAUUUGUUUUAUGUCUCUCUUUGUUUUAAAUGUCUUAUUGUCUCUAUACUUCAACUUUAUGAGCCGUUUGUAGCCUUCCUGAAUUCUUGGGGUGUACAGGACAAACAUGCAACAGAUGUGAGGUAGGAAAGAUGUGAGUAUCCUUGAAGCUUGAAUACUGGCAGGAGAUCCUUGAAGCUUUAGGUUUUGGUAUCCACACAUAUUUUUGUCUUUAAUUGGGACUGGCUAUUUGAAUUUCUCUGGUUUUUGAAUUCCUUCAAUUCAUUAAUUCAUUUUGUCCUUUCUUAAAUUCUGGGUCUUUAUUACCAAUAUCUAUUUGAAUUUAAAUAUAGUUCUUAAAUUUUUUAUGUAUAGGUGUUGAUUCGUUUGUGUUCAUUCCUUUUUAGCAUGUAAGACUGGUUGAGGAUUAAAAUCUGCAACUGUACACGAAAAAACAAGCAACGGAUGUGAGCUAGGAUAUCUGAAUACUGGAAGGACAUGCUUGAUUCUAUAGGUUAUCCAUACUCUUUGAUGACAGAUGUCUACUUGAGUUUGGAUGUAGUUAUUUAUUUGAUGACUGAGAUCUAUCAUAUGUAACUGUUUAUCUGCUUGUGUUAGUUCCUUUUCAGCAGGGGAUUCUGGUUUAGGAUAAAAAAACAUAAAUUUGAAUAUUGUUCUUGUCCGAUUAUCAAAAUAUGUAAAACCUAGCUAUUUGAUGUUGAUUCUUUUUUAGCACAUUAAAGGUUAAUAAUAAUACAAUACUCAGGGAAGAUGUCUCCUCUUUAUUUGAAACUUUGUAGAUUGAGCAUAUUUUUCGAGACUGAUAUAUGAGGUAGGAUGUGGAAACACUGGGAUUUGUGAAGCUUUAGGUUUUGUUAUCCUUACAUUUCUUAUGUUUUUAUUUGUGACUAACUAAACUUCUUGUUUGGAUGCUAAGUUUUGGUUGGAUUCAUUGCAGACCUUGUAGUGUGUCUGACAGUUCUUAUUGGUGUAUAUGUAGCAAUCACUAGCAGACUAUUAGAGGUCCUGUAAUUUGGGGAGGAUUUGUCUGACAGAAUUUCUAACAACUUAAUAUGAAGUACUGAAUUAAUAGUGAAAAAAAAGAUAAAGAAAAAAUAUCAUGGCCAUUAAAAGUUUAUGUUUCUUGUCCUGUUCAGCCAUGGCACUUGUCAGUGAGCUCUUGCUUCUUUCUCUAUUGCCCCAUAUGCAUACUUUUUCGCAUUUCUUACUCUUUUUUUAAGUUGUUCAUUUUUAAGUAAUUUAGGCUUCUCAUACUGGUUUCAUAGUGAAAUUUGAGCCUUUUACAUGGUGCCAUUGAAAUUAAGGAGGGAAUUAAUGAUCUUUAGUUUUAUAGUACUGAAUUAAUUUGGAUUUGCUUAGGUGUAGCAAAUUUGAAAGGUCAUUUUCUUAGUUAUUACUUCAUUUACUAAAUUAUCAAGAGCAUUGAACAAUUUGAUUUUGUAGUGUUUUGUUUGCUGCCUUGACAAAUGAAUCUUGCAUUCUAUUGUUUUUAGUAAUUUUGGGUUACAUUCUGAAUAUGACAUAUGAUGAUCUCUUAUAUCUUCCAAAAUGAGAAUGAUCUCCAACAUUAGAGCUGUAUUUAGUUCUAUCUCCAAUGUGAGAAUGAGAAAAUUGAGAGCUGUAUUUAGUUUUAUCUCCAAUUAUCUCUAAUAUUAGAAUGAGAAACAACAGUAGUUGAAAUGUUUUCUUGUAAUCUAUCUUCGUGUGCUAUGAUUCAGUUCUCUCUCCAUAUAUGAGAAUAAAAAAUGAGAAAGAGAAACAACAUUAUUUGGAAUGUUUUGUCGUAAUCUUCUUGCACUAUGAUUUUGUUCUCUCCCAAUAUGCGAAUGAGAAAAUGAAAAACAACAGUAUUUAGAAAGUUUUGUCGUAAUCUUGCGCUAUGAUUUGGUUCUCUCCUCAAUAUGCAAUGAGAAGAUGAGAAACAACAUUCCUUAACUUGUAAUUGAUUUUAUAUUAAUUGUUUAACUAUUCACUUCAUGUUUUUCUAAUUUGAAGAUAUCUCUUUACUAAAAACAAUGUAAUUAAUUUUAUAUUAAUUGUUUAGCUAUUCA
rnacentral:lncRNA from 1 species